AUUGAACGCUGGCGGCAUGCCUUACACAUGCAAGUCGAACGGUAACAGGUCUUCGGAUGCUGACGAGUGGCGAACGGGUGAGUAAUACAUCGGAACGUGCCCGAGAGUGGGGGAUAACGAGGCGAAAGCUUUGCUAAUACCGCAUACGAUCUCAGGAUGAAAGCAGGGGACCGCAAGGCCUUGCGCUCACGGAGCGGCCGAUGGCAGAUUAGGUAGUGGGUGGGAUAAAAGCUUACCAAGCCGACGAUCUGUAGCUGGUCUGAGAGGACGACCAGCCACACUGGGACUGAGACACGGCCCAGACUCCUACGGGAGGCAGCAGUGGGGAAUUUUGGACAAUGGGCGCAAGCCUGAUCCAGCAAUGCCGCGUGCAGGAAGAAGGCCUUCGGGUUGUAAACUGCUUUUGUACGGAACGAAACGGUCCUGGUUAAUACCCGGGGCUAAUGACGGUACCGUAAGAAUAAGCACCGGCUAACUACGUGCCAGCAGCCGCCGUAAAAC
rnacentral:rRNA from 1 species